UAGAGUUUGAUCAUGGCUCAGGACGAACGCUGGCGGCGGGCUUAACACAUGCAAGUCGCACGAGAAAGGGUCCUUCGGGACCUGAGUAAAGUGGCGAACGGGUGCGUAACGCGUAGCCACCUGCCCUGAAGCGGGGAAUAACUGCCGGAAAUGGCAGCUAAUACCACAUAACGUCCAGAGGUUACAUGACUUCUGGAUCAAAUCCCGACUUAUGUUGGGAGCUUUGGGAUGGGCCUGCGUCGGAUUAGCUGGUUGGUGAGGUAACGGCUCACCAAGGUGACGAUCCGUAGCUGGUCUGAGAGGAUGAUCAGCCACACUGGCACUGAGACACGGGCCAGACUCCUACGGGAGGCAGCAGUGGGGAAUCUUGCGCAAUGGAGGCAACUCUGACGCAGCCACGCCGCGUGCGGGAAGACACCCCUAUGGGGCGUAAACCGCUUUUCUGCGAGAAGAAGGCGCCGGUCUCCGGCGUUUGACGGUACCGCAGGAAUAAGGACCGGCUAACUCCGUGCCAGCAGCCGCGGUAAUACGGAGGGUCCAAGCGUUGUCCGAAAUUACUGGGUGUAAAGGGUGUGCAGGCGGAGCGACAAGUCAGCGGUGAAAGCCUACGGCUCAACCGUAGAAGCGCCGUUGAAACUGCCGUUCUUGAGUCCCGGAGAGGCCAUCGGAAUUCGUGGUGUAGCGGUGAAAUGCGUAGAUAUCACGAGGAACACCAGAAGCGUAGGCGGAUGGCUGGACGGGUACUGACGCUCAGGCACGAAAGCGUGGGGAGCAAACAGGAUUAGAUACCCUGGUAGUCCACGCCGUAAACGAUGGAUGCUCGAUGUGGCCCUGUUUAGGGGGCCAUGUCCAAGCUAACGCGUUAAGCAUCCCACCUGGGGAGUACGAUCGCAAGGUUGAAACUCAAAUGAAUUGACGGGG
rnacentral:rRNA from 1 species